GACAGAGGGUGCGAACGUUGUUCGGAAUUACUGGGCGUAAAGCGCAUGUAGGCGGCAGCGCAAGUCGGGCGUGAAAUCCCACGGCUCAACCGUGGAAGUGCACUCGAAACUGCGCAGCUAGAGUCCUGGAGAGGAAGGUGGAAUGCUUGGUGUAGAGGUGAAAUUCGUAGAUAUCAAGCGGAACACCGGUGGCGAAGGCGGCCUUCUGGACAG
rnacentral:rRNA from 1 species